GCAGAUAUAAUGCAUACGAUGCCUACUGUCCUCUCUAAUUUACGCUUAAUAUAAUGGCGCUUUCCUUACACUUUGCUCGUAACUGGAGGGACGCUGCAGAAGGUGACGUGCAACGUUACUUUGGUUGCGGCCACAGUUAUCCCCGCAGACGCAACCGAAACCGAAACGGACCUCUCGUGUUGAGACGUCUUAACAAUGGGGUGGGUAUUCUGCAAGGUAAACAUUGCGCAAUACUGCAUUGCGGAUGCCAUCGGCUUGCCGCCGUUGCCACAUUUGAAUUAUCCCAUACCCCGCGUCCAUACCCACAUCUUGCGUUGUCACCGCUGGUCAUCGCUUUGAGAACUUAAGCGGGCUGACCUGCCUGCGACAAAGUUGACAUCGCCUGAGUACAGCCAUCAAUCAACUCUCCAUGGCGCCAAGGUAUUGUGUUGUGAAGAGCUGCGGCAAGAAAGAAGGCGACAACGUUGUGUUUCACUACUUUCCUUCCGACGACGAUCAAAGGAAAGUCUGGACCGAGUUCGUGCAGGCCGUCCGAGGUACCAGUUGGACGCCGGGAAGGCGCAGUCAGGUAUGCUCCCUGCACUUCUCGUCGGACUGUUACCUAUACAACAUGCAGUACUGCGCCGACUUUGGUCUGCCGACGAGGCGAAACUACCUGAAGAAGGGUUCAGUGCCUACUUUGUACCCUGCUGGUGCAGUACUCAUCACUGCCCCGCCCACGUGUCCAGGAACGAAUGUGCGUAAUAUUGCGACUGGCACUGCUGUUGGGAUCAUACACACUGACUCCUGGAGCAGUGGAAGUUGCAUUCACAUGUGCGGUGCACCAAGCACAGAUCCACCACUGGGACCAACUCGCAAUUACACUAUAAUGGCAAGUGUAGCUGUUGCAACUCUUCCAAUGGGGAAAGUCAGUGCAGUCACUCAAUGCUCAUUGCCACUAACAGUGAAAUCAACACAGGCCAUGCUGAGUAAAAGGACGAGGAAUGUUGGAGUGCAAGCAGAAGUGAAAACAAGAACUCCAGGGUACACCAAAAGGCAACCUUGACACAACUGGCCAAGCAUAAAUGGAAUACCUGUCUUUUGGGCCUGCUGGCUUUCAAGCAUUGCAGGUUUCCAGACUGAUUAUGUACAUCUUGAUGUUGUGCUCUCUUCAAAGAUGUUUCCCGAAUGCUCAGCAGCACUGCCUACAGGACCAGUAAUUCUGGGCAAACUGAAUGGCUGGAACGUAUCACUCAGCCAUAAGAAACCAUUUGUGUUCAACAAAGACUUGGUGCAACUAUGACCUCAUUAUAUAGAGGUCCAGCUGUGCGGAGUCCUAUUUGCAUUCGCCGCGUAUGACAGGUUCGCAAAUGAGGUGCGAUUGUCAGAAUCAAGUGGCUACUGGAUGACAUCUAGCAGAUAUCACCACAGCUUACAAGUAUACGGUGUUGAUCCCUUGUCUUGCUCACUACCUACCUUCAAGAGCUGCACCUGAUCCCUCUGUGUAAUACUGUCAAGGCUAUAGGACCUCCUUUUGGCACAGUUGAACGACCUUUGAGUUGUUGUAAAGUGGGCUGUCUUGCAGACUGUUACCGUGGUCGGCAUCCCUUUCAAGUUGUUGUGGCUCGUGGUAAUGCACACCGGCAGUCCGACCAGUGAGGGACUGGCCGUGCCUCUGCACUGACAUCACACUUUCAUGGUUGUCCAUUUAUCCAUUGGUCAGACACAUAGGUAGUGACGGUUGCCUCUGAGAAGCCUCUGAGUAACAGGAACCGAUGUCAAGGCUGCCAUGUUUUAGUUUGGUGCUGGCAGGAAAUCUUGCAACAUAGAAAAUUGUCCAUGACAUCUCUAGAGUAAUAAAAAGUCGUUGCAGCUGUUUGUAGUCCGCAGUCUCAGCGUUUGAUACAAUAGCUAUUCCACUGCCUAAUCUGCAUAUGUUUCGAAUUGCUAAGUUUCUGUCGCCCUUGAUGCCCUCCAUCAAGAUGAUGCAGGAAAGAGGCAGGCACACCGAUGCAAACAGGUGUGCAUUUACAGGAGAGAGAGAGAGCAAGAAAAUGACAUCCAAGCAGCAGCCACCAUCCAUCUUCUCUCAAGACACCUUCAGUGUUCUCUUCCCCGCAACAAUAUUACAGCGUAAGCUGUUAUGGGCUCAUUCCAACAGCCAUUUCGGGUGGCGAUAGUAUCCGCCGCAGCUGCCGGUGUCCGGUGUUCGUAGCAGCUAUCACCGGGAAUCAGAAAAAAAAUGACCGGUUCCCACCGGGAUCGAACCCGGGCCCGCGGCGUGGGAAUCAGCUGCUCUACCACUGAGCCGCGCCAGUGCUUGCUAGCAUGCAGUGUAAAAAUGUCCUAUAAACACAUCCUACCACGCGAGGAGACACGCGAUGUGACAUGUGUGCCGCCUAGCAUCGAUACGUGCACAUUUUACAUUGCAGUUGCAUACUAUUACACCGUGUAGAACGCCAUGUAGCACAUGCACAGGUAGCGGUACAAAGCAGUUAAAGAAGGUUUGAGAAAGAAAAGGAAGAUUAUAGAGAUGCAUAAAUCUUAGGAAAUGGCAUUAAAUCAUCAUCAUUACCACCGUAUCAUGCCAUUUCACCUGCACGUCACGUAGCUUCAAUGCAUACAGACUUUGCAUUGGAGUUCUGUUAUAUUCCCUCAGAGAGGUAUUCUGUAGUAGUCCACCUAGUGGACUGGCCAUUUCGGCCGCUGCUGAUUGGCUGGGGCCGCUCGUCUCCUCCUCACUCAUACAGCCGCAUCCAAUCAGCAGCGGCUGAAAUGGACAGUCCACUAGGUGGACUCUUACAGAGUACCCCCCAGGUGUCCCGACAUAUAGCAGUUGCAGAUAGCAGUUGCAUGCUUCAUUUAGCUGGACCUGGUAAACUAAGGCAGGCUAUGUGACUAUUUGUUACCACUCCGUUUCGAAAGGGAUGCCAACAAACCAUUAUUAUCAUCAUCGACAGCAACAGCAACAUACCGUGCCAUGUGUCAAAGCAUGUGGCAUGUGCGCCACAUAAUCUGGGUACCUGUGUUUACUCUUUGGUACAUGCUAUCGUGCCUCCUGGCUAGGUACUAAACAUAGAGCUACAUGCGCAGCUGCAACCAAGCAGCGUCGGGCUCAGCAAACCGCUUUGCAGAGAGCAGCACAAGACACAGUUCACUGUCAACACCGGGCAGACUGUUCAGAUCGUUCUCAUGAAAAUGACACAAAGAGACUUCACCGCAGUGCAUGCUGCCAAAAAUGAAGCUUCUAUGGAGCCGCUCCUCUGGCUUAUGCUGCAACUGCGCUGCAUGCACUGCGCAAGCCUGUGACUUUCAUUUAUCAUUGUCGCCGUCUGUACGCAUUAAGUCGAACAAUCUUCAAAUAUCAAAAAAUUAUGUUUAAGAAAUUUUUAGACAUUUCCUGGAUGAACUGUUGCAGGUAUAGAUACUUCAGAUAGUAAGCUCUCUAUCACUCCAAGAAAAGGGGAAUGCUUGAAAAUCGGUUGUCGGUCCCUUUAAGGCUCAUAUCUCAGGUUUUGUAUUCAAUUGAAAAUUGGUUACUUCUGUGCCCACAAGUAGUGUUUUCCUAUAAGUAGGGAUGUGACGUAAUAAAGAUGUCAGUUGAGAGUA